GAACAUUGGUUCCCAUAACAAGAAAAAUAUAAUUUAAUAAAAAACUAAAAUAAAAUAACAAAUUAUUCUAAUAUACCUUUUCAAAUAAACUAUACUUCAUUAUUUCAAAUAUUUUAAAUUUCAUAAAAAAAUGAAAUGACACAAAAUAAAAAAAUUAUAAUAAGCCAAAACAUUUGUCAUAAUACAUGCGAAACAAAGCACAAUAUAAAAAUACAAUUUCCAG
rnacentral:lncRNA from 1 species